rnacentral:rRNA from 1 species
AAUCCAUAGGUUAAUGAGGCGAACCGGGGGAACUGAAACAUCUAAGUACCCCGAGGAAAAGAAAUCAACCGAGAUUCCCCCAGUAGCGGCGAGCGAACGGGGAGGAGCCCAGAGCCUGAAUCAGCAUGUGUGUUAGUGGAAGCGUCUGGAAAGGCGCGCGAUACAGGGUGACAGCCCCGUACACAAAAGCGCAUGUGCUGUGAGCUCGAUGAGUAGGGCGGGACACGUGGUAUCCUGUCUGAAUAUGGGGGGACCAUCCUCCAAGGCUAAAUACUCCUGACUGACCGAUAGUGAACCAGUACCGUGAGGGAAAGGCGAAAAGAACCCCGGCGAGGGGAGUGAAAAAGAACCUGAAACCGUGUACGUACAAGCAGUGGGAGCACAGGUUUACCUGUGUGACUGCGUACCUUUUGUAUAAUGGGUCAGCGACUUAUAUUCUGUAGCAAGGUUAACCGUAUAGGGGAGCCGGAGGGAAACCGAGUCUUAACCGGGCGUUAAGUUGCAGGGUAUAGACCCGAAACCCGGUGAUCUAGCCAUGGGCAGGUUGAAGGUUGGGUAACACUAACUGGAGGACCGAACCGACUAAUGUUGAAAAAUUAGCGGAUGACCUGUGGCUGGGGGUGAAAGGCCAAUCAAACCGGGAGAUAGCUGGUUCUCCCCGAAAGCUAUUUAGGUAGCGCCUCGUGAAUUCAUCUCCGGGGGUAGAGCACUGUUUCGGCUAGGGGGCCAUCCCGGCUUACCAACCCGAUGCAAACUGCGAAUACCGGAGAAUGUUAUCACGGGAGACACACGGCGGGUGCUAACGUCCGUCGUGAAGAGGGAAACAACCCAGACCGCCAGCUAAGGUCCCAAAGUCAUGGUUAAGUGGGAAACGAUGUGGGAAGGCCCAGACAGCCAGGAUGUUGGCUUAGAAGCAGCCAUCAUUUAAAGAAAGCGUAAUAGCUCACUGGUCGAGUCGGCCUGCGCGGAAGAUGUAACGGGGCUAAACCAUGCACCGAAGCUGCGGCAGCGAACGUAUCACCCAAGACAACUUUACGGAGUUGACGAUUGACGGAGCGAAGCGACGUCAAAGCGUUCAUUAAAGUCGAGUUGGCUUAGGGAUACGUUCGUUGGGUAGGGGAGCGUUCUGUAAGCCUGUGAAGGUGUGUCGUGAGGCAUGCUGGAGGUAUCAGAAGUGCGAAUGCUGACAUAAGUAACGAUAAAGCGGGUGAAAAGCCCGCUCGCCGGAAGACCAAGGGUUCCUGUCCAACGUUAAUCGGGGCAGGGUGAGUCGACCCCUAAGGCGAGGCCGAAAGGCGUAGUCGAUGGGAAACGGGUUAAUAUUCCCGUACUUGGUGUUACUGCGAAGGGGGGACGGAGAAGGCUAUGUUGGCCGGGCGACGGUUGUCCCGGUUUAAGCGUGUAGGUGUGUGUUCCAGGUAAAUCCGGUUCACUUUAACACUGAGGCGUGACGACGAGGCACUACGGUGCUGAAGCAACAAAUGCCCUGCUUCCAGGAAAAGCCUCUAAGCAUCAGGUAACAUCAAAUCGUACCCCAAACCGACACAGGUGGUCAGGUAGAGAAUACCAAGGCGCUUGAGAGAACUCGGGUGAAGGAACUAGGCAAAAUGGUGCCGUAACUUCGGGAGAAGGCACGCUGACACGUAGGUGAAGUGAUUUACUCAUGGAGCUGAAGUCAGUCGAAGAUACCAGCUGGCUGCAACUGUUUAUUAAAAACACAGCACUGUGCAAACACGAAAGUGGACGUAUACGGUGUGACGCCUGCCCGGUGCCGGAAGGUUAAUUGAUGGGGUCAGCGCAAGCGAAGCUCCUGAUCGAAGCCCCGGUAAACGGCGGCCGUAACUAUAACGGUCCUAAGGUAGCGAAAUUCCUUGUCGGGUAAGUUCCGACCUGCACGAAUGGCGUAAUGAUGGCCAGGCUGUCUCCACCCGAGACUCAGUGAAAUUGAACUCGCUGUGAAGAUGCAGUGUACCCGCGGCAAGACGGAAAGACCCCGUGAACCUUUACUAUAGCUUGACACUGAACAUUGAGCCUUGAUGUGUAG